rnacentral:rRNA from 1 species
UACGGGGGGAGCAAGCGUUGUUCGGAAUUACUGGGCGUAAAGGGCGCGUAGGCGGCGACCCAAGUCAGAUGUGAAAGUCCUGGGCUUAACCUGGGGACUGCAUUUGAUACUGGGUUGCUUGAAUUCGGGAGAGGAUAGCGGAAUUCCCAGUGUAGAGGUGAAAUUCGUAGAUAUUGGGAAGAACACCGGUGGCGAAGGCGGCUAUCUGGACCGACAUUGACGGCUGAGGCGCGAAAGCGUGGGGAGCAAACAGG